rnacentral:rRNA from 1 species
ACGAACGCUGGCGGCGCGCCUAACACAUGCAAGUCGAACGAGCGAGAGAGAGCUUGCUUUCUUGCGCGAGUGGCGAACGGGUGAGUAACGCGUGAGGAACCUGCCUCAAAGAGGGGGACAACAGUUGGAAACGACUGCUAAUACCGCAUAAGCCCACGACCCGGCAUCGGGUUGAGGGAAAAGGAGCAAUCCGCUUUGAGAUGGCCUCGCGUCCGAUUAGCUAGUUGGUGAGGUAACGGCCCACCAAGGCUACGAUCGGUAGCCGGACAGAGAGGUUGAACGGCCAUCGUUAGGCUGAGACACGGCCGAGACUCCAAAGGGAAGGAUCAGUGGGGAAUAUUGCACAAGGGGGGAAACCCUGAUGCAGUGACGCGGCGUGGAGGAAGAAGGUCUUAGGAUUGUAAACUCCUGUUGUUGAGGAAUAUAAUGACGGUACUCGAGAAGAAAGUGACGGCUAACUACGUG